CGGCAGGCCUAACACAUGCAAGUCGAGCGGUAGAGAGGUGCUUGCAUCUCUUGAGAGCGGCGGACGGGUGAGUAAUGCCUAGGAAUCUGCCUAGUGGUGGGGGAUAACGUUCGGAAACGGACGCUAAUACCGCAUACGUCCUACGGGAGAAAGCGGGGGGAUCUUCGGACCUCGCGCCAUUAGAUGAGCCUAGGUCGGAUUAGCUAGUUGGUGAGGUAAUGGCUCACCAAGGCGACGAUCCGUAACUGGUCUGAGAGGAUGAUCAGUCACACUGGAACUGAGACACGGUCCAGACUCCUACGGGAGGCAGCAGUGGGGAAUAUUGGACAAUGGGCGAAAGCCUGAUCCAGCCAUGCCGCGUGAGUGAUGAAGGCCUUCGGGUUGUAAAGCACUUUCAGCGAGGAGGAAGGGUUGUGUGUUAAUAGCACAUAGCCUUGACGUUACUCGCAGAAGAAGCACCGGCUAACUCUGUG
rnacentral:rRNA from 1 species